CCUACGGGAGGCAGCAGUGGGGAAUAUUGCACAAUGGGCGAAAGCCUGAUGCAGCAACGCCGCGUGAGCGAUGAAGGCCUUCGGGUCGUAAAGCUCUGUCCUCAAAGAAGAUAAUGACGGUACUUGAGGAGGAAGCCCCGGCUACCUACGUGCCAGUAGCCGCGGUAAUACGUAGGGGGCUAGCGUUAUCCGGAAUUACUGGGCGUAAGGGGUGCGUAGGUGGUUUCUUAAGUCAGAGGUGAAAGGCUACGGCUCAACCGUAGUAAGCCUUUGAAACUGGGAAACUUGAGUGCAGGAGAGGAGAGUGGAAUUCCUAGUGUAGCGGUGAAAUGCGUAGAUAUUAGGAGGAACACCAGUUGCGAAGGCGGCUCUCUGGACUGUAACUGACACUGAGGCACGAAAGCGUGGGGAGCAAACAGGAUUAGAUACCCCAGUAGUC
rnacentral:rRNA from 1 species